UAUAAAUAUACUGAAAAGUGAAUGAAAUUGUAUAGUUGACUGUAUCCUCACAUCUCAAACAACACUCCAUUGAAGAUGUACAAGCUCGCAGUCCUGUUCCUGGUAGCGAUGGCCCUUGCACAUUGCUUGGCCGAUCCCAAUCCGGAUAUUGAGAAACGUAGUAUCUUCUACCCGUACCAUACUUCGUACUACAGGAGCUACCCUCAUCACUACUUCUACCCGACCAGAUACUACUACCCGCGUUACUAUUAUUACUAUUAAAGUGGAUGGUAUUAAAAGAGUUUUAAAUAGGGGAGUUGUUAAAUAAAUGAAUUCAUUUAUUUA
rnacentral:lncRNA from 1 species